CUUUAACUCCAUUACUCCUGCCAUGAGGUCACAGCCCUGCCUUUGGGACAUCGCUGUCUGUUGCCAUGGAAUUGUUUGUGCUUUCACAAAGUCAGCAUUUUGAUGACUUCACAAGCAAGGUCAUGGAGGAACAGAUGGGCUUUGAAGGAGG
rnacentral:lncRNA from 1 species